rnacentral:rRNA from 1 species
GACGAACGCUGGCGGCGUGCCUAACACAUGCAAGUCAACUUGACUGAAGGAGCAAUCUGACAGUAGAGUGGCGCAAGGGUGCGUAACGCGUAAGUAACUUGCCCAAGGUAAGGAAUAACGUCGAGAAAUCGGCGCUAAUACCUCAUAAUGCAGCGGAUCGCAUGGAUAUGUUGUAAAGGUUUAUCGCCUUGGGAUAGGCUUGCGUCUGAUUAGCUAGUUGGUGUGGUAACGGCACACCAAGGCUACGAUCAGUAACUGGUCUGAGAGGAUGAUCAGUCACACUGGAACUGAGACACGGUCCAGACUCCUACGGGAGGCCAGCAGUGAGG